rnacentral:rRNA from 1 species
AAACCAGCACCUCAAGUGGUCAGGAUGAUUAUUGGGCCUAAAGCAUCCGUAGCCUGCUCUGUAAGUUUUCGGUUAAAUCUGUACGCUCAACGUACAGGCUGCCGGGAAUACUGCAGAGCUAGGGAGUGGGAGAGGUAGACGGUACUCGGGAGGAAGUGGUAAAAUGCUUUGAUCUCUCGAUGACCACCUGUGGCGAAGGCGGUCUACCAGAACACGUCCGACGGUGAGGGAUGAAAGCUGGGGGAGCAAACCGGAUUAGAAACCCCAGUAGUCC